GUCCCCCACUGGCACUAGCCACUAGUCCUCAGGCUCCGCCGGCCGCCCGCCGCCUUCGGCCUUCGUCUCCUCUCCCGCGGCCCCUGCUGGCCUGCUUUGGUGGCCUUUGGGUGAGCGCGCGCCUCCCGAUCCCGUCGGCUGCCGGCGCCCCGCGCGGCCGCGCCCUAAGCCCCCUACCCCGCCGCGGCGGCGCACCUCCGUGGCUCCUGCCUGCAGCCCCGCACCCGGUGCCGGUGGCCACCGUCCUGUGGCCGCAGUCUGCCGCCUACCGCCCGGCCGCCCCGACGCGUGUACUGGGUACUGCACCGGCCUAAUUGCAAUCCCCUCACUGGAUUUUAUGCCCAACGUGUACAUGCACUCCUGAAUGCUUGAACCUGGAGUUACUACAUAGCUUGGUAUUCAUCAUAUAAAUGACGGGAAGAAGAUUGGCAGGGCAUGGAUAUUUGAUUCCCAGAACCCUUUACUUCAUACGAUGGCAGGCUAUGUCAUCAUUCUCAGCCGGCCAUGGACGCCGACCCAAGAAGAAGCUAUAUCACCGUGAGCCUGGUCUUGACAAAGCCAUGGACCUCCAAAAGAAGCCUACCCUCCUCCUUUGUCUCCGUGACCUCAUUUUGGCACAAAGGACAUGCUCAUUACUUGUACGUGACCUUGAAAAGGAGGUUGGCUUUGUCCAAAAAUGGAACUUUCUUUCACUUAUCGAGCGUCAUCCCAAUAUCUUCCAUGUCUCUGGCGGAAGCGCUUCCCGAGAGCCCAUUGCUGUCACACUUACUGAGAAGGCCAAAAGGAUAUCCAGUGAAGAGGAUCAAGCACGAGAGCUAAUGGAGCCAAUCUUGGUGAAAAACCUAAGGAAGUUACUGAUGAUGUCGAUGGACUGCCAAAUCCCCUUGGAGAAGAUUGAGCUAAUCCAAUCUGAACUGGGAUUACCUAAGAACUUCAAGAACAACUUGCUUCCAAGGUAUCCUGAUUUUUUUUCAAUCCGUGAUGUGAAGGGAUUGGACCAUUUGUGUCUGGAGAAUUGGGACUCUUCACUAGCGGUCACAGCGCGAGAAGAAAAAUUAGAUUUUGAGGGUUUCCAAAUAGGCUGUAGAGGGAUUCCUAAAGAUGGAAAUAUCUUGGGUCCUUUUGCUUUCAAGUUGAAGUACCCAGCAGGAUUUAGGCCAAAUCGGAAGUACCUUGAGGAGGUUGUCAGGUGGCAAAAGAUGGCAUUUCCUUCACCUUAUCUGAAUGCUAGGCGAGUUGAGUCUGCAACGCCUCAGGCUCGAAAGCGAGCUGUUGCUGUCCUGCAUGAGAUUUUGAGCCUGACAAUGGAGAGGCGAUUGACAUCUGAUAAGCUAGAUGUAUUUCACAAUGAGUACAGGCUUCCAUGCAAGUUGCUUCUUUGUUUGGUGAAAAAUCAUGGCAUCUUCUACAUCACUAACAAGGGAGCAAGAAGCACUGUCUUCCUCAAGGAGGCCUAUGAGAACAGUAACCUCAUUGAUAAGUGUCCUUUAUUGAAAUUCCAUGAGCACUUUGCAUCUUUGAUUGGCCGACCAUGCGCGAACUCAGAUAAUCUACUAGCAAUAUAAUUGGUGUGUAGAUUUACUGGUCAGGAGACAGCUUAUCAAAGCACAUUUGUGUUAGCAAUAAUCCUGUGCGUGCAUGUACCUGUCCAGGUUCAGACUUCAGAGUGUCCAGGUGCACCCUUUAUUGUAAGCAGAUUUUCAGCUAGCAGAUUAGGGAGGAUAAUAGGAAAUCAUAGCAGUAAUGCCGGCAAUAACCAGGUGGUUAAGUGAGUCCUUAUUGUAGCAUGUAUCCAGCAUAGCACGAAAAAAAUUCAGAAAAGCAGCAAGCAAUUGCAGCACCAAUGACUACCUGUGUAUGUGUGUGUUCUGUGCGCGAGCAAUCUGUGCUACACUGCUACCUGUGAGGCCAUCUUGCCACUACAGUUUAAGUCCUUUGUACAGUGUGCGUUUCUGUGAUCACAGUAAGUAAAGAGAGAACUAAAGAAUUGAAAAGACCAGUGACCCAUUUUCAAAUGUAAAUCUAUCUGAGAAAUCAAGUGGCAGCUCUGCAGAUUAGACAAAAUAAUGGUCGUAACAGAAGUCACAUAUUUAUUCCCACCAUUGCAGGUUUGAAUCUUAGGGGCGAUAUGGUUGGCUUAGCAAUUUUCUAGAAAGGAUUUGCUCUUGUUAUGUAGCUUAUAAUCCAAAACCAAGCCUGUUCGGUAACGAUGCUGCUGCAGCUGCCCAGCAAUCUGCUACUGAAAUUGGGCCCUGGAGUGCAAGUUGCCGCUGCUGUAUAGCUGCAGUUCCGGUGAAAAAUCACUGCUGAACAGAAUCAAAACUAUAGCAUUCAAGUUAUUAUAUACUUUUAGUUUGCUUCUCUUGGCCUGAACCUUUCUUUCUGAUAAAUAAUAGCCAGAUGCUCAGUGUUUUGAAACUGUAUCAUACUAGUGAUUCCUCUUAGUGUACUUGAUAUCUUUUUACAUCUAAGAAUGUGUCUCACUAGUAAACAGCCAUUGCUAAUUUGCUGUGUCGAUCAAUCACUUGAUCCUAUGAUUAAUGGUAUUAACUCGGUGUGGUAUUGUUUCUUAGUCGGUUCUUUCUUAUCUUAUGAUUAUUUCUCCAUCCUUACACAGGUGGAAAGCACAUAUAAAAUUCUACAGAUGUCGUCAGUAGCCGUUUUGUUUAGAGUGCCAAGGUUUUAUAUAUUCAUGAAUCAUGAUAUCUGAUGGUUGCCUCGUGGUUAUCUCUCACAACCAUCCACCUACUUGUGUAUUUUUAGGAUCUGGCUGAUGAAUAGCUAGCAGUACAUCCUUACAGUUGCAUGCCAUUUGAGAUGUCUAAGGAUAAGAAAUAGCUUCGCAUGCAACUUGCACAAUUAGUAAUACCAUUUACUUACUUGCAAUCCAAUUAAAGGUUAUGAGAAAGUUUUUUAGCAAUAUAAAUAAAUUUAGUGCUGGCAAAAAUAUUUUUCAUUAUGUGGAGACUUCAGCAGAACUUCCAGGCAACUUUACAACACAAAUUUUGUAUCCUCCUAUGUUGUUUGUUUUGUAUUUAACUUCAGUUAUAAUGUAAAUUGGUAAUAAUCAAGUCCAGUACUAUUUUUCAAUCUAUUCUUUCUUGUGUGCAUAUCUUCAUCCGUACAUGGCAAUAAAGCACCUAUAAAUGCUCCAGACAUUGGCAGUAGCUGAAAUUUUGCUUCCAUCUAGCAUAUCAAAUGAUAUGCUAGCUUCAUUUUUCUUUUUUGCGAGGAUCUGAAUUUGUUGACAGACCUAGCUUUUCAAUGUUCUAUGUUGAUGAUGUCUCAUUAUUAAUAUUCAUGCUUAUGUUAUUUAGUUACUUCAGUCAUGUCUCAUGUCCAUUGGAUAAUCACUCCUACAACCCGUUCACUUAUUUUUUGUAAAGCAGGAUCUGUUCACUGAAUUGCAGUAGCACAUUCUUGUAUAGUUCCACGUUUUUUUUUUUGACUUAGUAGUGACUUUAUCUUAACUAAUUCUAUUGCCUCCUAUAGUGCUAGGUUUAGUCUUAACUUCAGAUAUUAAGUUGGAAAUUCUAGUUGCCUUGCCUAUUCUGACGUAGAUACCAGUAAUGUGCUUCACCUUUGUACAUAUCUAGUUUUUCCUAUCAUUGACCUACUAAGGUUGACAGUGUGCUCACUCAAAAUUUUGUCCUGUAUCAUUUACAUCCUAUACAAUCAACACACUUCAUGUUGCUGAUCGCCCCCUUUCUGUUUACCAAGACUUGCGUGCAUGGGAUUAUUAGCCCCUCUUCUUUGUGAUGUGCUUGUAAUAGCUGGCCAGGGAUCUAACAAUAGGAUCAAUUGUGAGCAAUGCUGGCCUAUGGAUUAUUAUGUGAUCUAUAUCCAUCAGGAUAGGCAUGCAAACUUUUUAGAAGUUAGCAUAGCAAUCAAAUCAUUAUAGUUAAAAAUGUAUGUCACAAUUGUCUAUGAAAUUGUAGAACCCCAAUAGUUAGAUCUUGUGUGUUGUGUGCCUGAUGGUAUCACUUGUCAGGUUACUUUGUGGCAGGUAUAUUGUAGUACUAAUGUUUCUUUUUGGCGAAGGUACUGCUUUGUGUCAGAAUUGAUACAUUCUGCAGUUGUCAAAUAAAGAGACUCUCCAACUGAGUGCUCUGACAGGCAAAUGCCAUCCUCUGAAAGCCUGUCGUUUACAUGGUUGCUUGCUGCUGAAUAAUGAUCAAUGAAAUUGGGGGUACGCACUCAGAGCUGUUGUUCUGGGACCAGAUUCUGAAAGGACGAAAAAGAUUUAUCAAUGGCUAUGCCAACCCCUGCAACAGGCUAAUAAUAGGCACAGGUUUGGAUCCUUUCCAUAUCUACUUCAAUAUCUUGAGUAUGUUUUGAUUUCUCAGCACUGAAGUGGAUGUCCACAAUCCACAUGGAAUGUCUUGGUGGGAGAUGCAUUACUGAUGUUCUCAGACUUCACUGCAACGCUAAACCGAGCUUUCAGUGGGAUCCAUUGGAAUAAUUAGAUGGACAUAUGCCGAGAAAACUUCGACCGACAAAAUUAUGCGCAUUGUGGACACAUUGAGGUGAAAUCAUGCCAACUGGCUGCUGCUCAGUUUGCUGCCUGAGUACUGCCCAAAAAAAAAAAGUUUGCUGCCUGAGUAUAAUCCAUGAAAGUGAGGAGCAUAUACGGGGGUGCAGCAAUGGGACCAGAUUCUGCAUACACCAAGAGGGAACCCAUAAUGAUAGUGGUCAUAAGACUGGUCAGAUGCACUAAAAGUGAGGGAGUUAGUGUCUGAUAGUUUAGGCAGGCCUAUCCUGAAGUCAUACAAACAAUGGAGGGAGACUAGACGCCCUUUUUCAGAUCAUGCUUUUUUUUCCCUUCUGGCCAAGCAUCUGGAGAGGGUGAUGAAUCAUUCUAUCUUUAGCUCACCACCAAACCCACCGGGUCAAUCCACUGAGGGACAGGCUUGGUGCUGGAGCAAUCAUAUUCCUAUAUUAUUGGUUGGAACAAUAGCCGCUUUAUCUGAUUCAUUCAUAGGGUAUAAAGAUGGUGCCGGCUGCAGUACCAUGGAGUGCAAUGGCAAAGAUAAACCAACUUUAUUCGCGAAACAGAAGAUGGGCCAACUUUGGCGGGAAAUACAAUAAUUAAGGUCUGCUACCAGCCUACCCGCGAAAAUCAAGUUGCAGUGAACCAGCGGUCAAGCUUUUGUUAAGUAGCUGUGAUUGAACAGCGGGCCGAGGGCAUAUGCGUCCGUGGCGGUGACUUGUGCGAGCUGCAUUGUGCUGUCCGUGUCUGCUUCCGAUCCGAAUGAAAUGAUGGUGGUGGAGGAUCGCUGCGGGCGUGGUGUGGGGGGCUGCCGGCCGCGGCCGGUUUUGGUCUCGUCUGCUGCCGUGCCGCGGAUGCUGCUGCCGGGUGAAGCCAUGCGCCUGCACUUUUCUGCCAGCAGGAACGUCUCCGUUGCGUUCGGUCUCUGUAUCUUCUGCUUCCUUCAGCAUCAAUCCACCUCACACCACAUCGCGCUCCCUCCUUUUCCUUGUCCUCCUGUCCAGAUGUACUGUGCUCCACAUUUAUUUAUUUACUUACUACUAGUAGUAUUUACAUUAUAAAAAGUGCUAAAAACUCAUAAGCUAGAUUUUCUACCAUUUUUUAUUUCGGUCUAUUCUAUAA